GAUGAACGCUAGCUACAGGCUUAACACAUGCAAGUCGAGGGGAAACGGCAUCGAAAGCUUGCUUUUGAUGGGCGUCGACCGGCGCACGGGUGAGUAACGCGUAUCCAACCUGCCCAUCACUUGGGAAUAACCUUGCGAAAGUAAGACUAAUGCCCAAUGACAUCCCACGAAGGCACCCGAAUGGGAUUAAAGAUUUAUCGGUGAUGGAUGGGGAUGCGUCUGAUUAGCUUGUUGGCGGGGUGACGGCCCACCAAGGCAACGAUCAGUAGGGGUUCUGAGAGGAAGGUCCCCCACAUUGGAACUGAGACACGGUCCAAACUCCUACGGGAGGCAGCAGUGAGGAAUAUUGGUCAAUGGGCGAGAGCCUGAACCAGCCAAGUAGCGUGCAGGAUGACGGCCCUAUGGGUUGUAAACUGCUUUUAUAAGGGAAUAAAGUGGGUCACGUGUGACUUUUUGCAUGUACCUUAUGAAUAAGGACCGGCUAAUUCCGUG
rnacentral:rRNA from 1 species